rnacentral:rRNA from 1 species
AUGGGGUUCUGGAUGGGCCUGGCGAUGGGGGUCGCCGCCGGCGUCGCGCUCAUCGUCGCCUUCGCCCGCUGCGAGAACUCCCGCGGCGCCCGCCGCCGGAAGCUGGCUGCCACGGUUGCCACUUUCUCUAAAAUGACGGUCGAAGAUUCACGCAAGUUACUUCCAGGUACCCUGUACCCAUCCUGGGUUGUUUUCUCUACGCAGCAAAAGUUAAAAUGGCUGAAUGAGGAGCUCAACAAAAUAUGGCCCUUUGUGAAUGAGGCAGCAUCAGAACUCAUCAAAGCCUCCGUUGAGCCUGUUCUUGAACAAUAUAGGCCAGUGGUCUUUGCUGCCCUCACGUUCUCAAAACUCACUCUUGGUACUGUUGCACCGCAGUUUACUGGUAUUUCAAUCAUUGAGAGUAAUGAAGAAGGUAUUGUUAUGGAGCUAGAGAUGAAUUGGGAUGCCAAUCCAAGUAUCAUAUUGGAUGUAAAAACUAGACUUGGGGUGGCAUUACCAAUACAGGUGAAGGACAUCGGCUUCACGGGAGUUUUCCGCUUGAUUUUCAAACCGCUGGUUGAACAACUGCCUUGCUUUGGAGCUGUUUGUUUUUCUCUAAGACAGAAGAAAAAACUGGAUUUCAAACUGAAGGUCAUUGGUGGUGAUAUUUCUGCUAUUCCUGGAAUUUCAGCUGCUCUUGAGGAAACUAUAAAAAAUGCUAUUGAAGACUCAAUAACAUGGCCAGUAAGGAAAGUCAUUCCUAUAGUACCUGGGGACUACAGUGAUCUGGAGCUGAAGCCUGUGGGUACAUUGGAAGUCAAGCUUGUGCAAGCUAGAGAUUUGACAAACAAGGAUCUGAUAGGAAAAUCGGAUCCUUUUGCCACUUUAUAUAUCCGACCAUUGCCAGACAAAACCAAGAGAAGUAAAACAAUUAACAAUGAUCUCAAUCCCAUUUGGAAUGAACACUUUGAGUUUAUUGUUGAAGAUGCUGAUACUCAGAGCGUGACAGUCAAGAUUUAUGAUGAUGAUGGUAUUCAGGAAUCUGAUCUGAUUGGCUGUGCUCAAGUUAGCCUGAAGGAUCUUCAACCUGGCAAAGUGAAGGAUGUCUGGCUGAAGCUUGUAAAAGAUUUGGAGAUUCAAAGAGACAGGAAAGAUCGUGGUCAGGUGCACCUUGAGCUAGUCUAUUAUCCAUAUAACAUGAAGGAUGAGACUCCAAAUCCUUUUAAACAACAUUUUUCGAUGACUUCCUUAGAGAGGACAAUGACAACUAAUGGAAAUGGAUCAGCGAGCAAAGAUUAUGGCAGGUUGUCAUCAAGGAAGAGAAAGGAAAUUAUCCUGCGAGGGGUUCUCCAAGUAACUGUGAUAUCUGGUGAAGAUCUGCCAGCAAUGGAUAUGAAUGGGAAGUCUGACCCAUAUGUUGUAGUUUCUCUCAAGAAAACAAAAACCAAGCACAAGACAAGGGUUGUGAAUGAAAGCUUGAACCCUGUUUGGAAUCAAACUUUUGACUUCGUUGUCGAAGAUGGCUUACAUGACAUGCUCAUGCUGGAAGUUUAUGAUCACGACACUUUCAGUAGAGAUUACAUGGGGCGGUGCAUCCUGACCUUAACUAAGGUUUUGAUCGAAGAGGAUUACACCGACAGCUUCCCGUUGCAGGGAGCAAAGACCGGGAGGCUGAAGUUGCAUCUGAAGUGGUCGCCGCAAUCAAUCAUGCGUGAUUCGGGAGAAGCAGCUUAA